GUGAGGGUUGCGGUAUGCUUCUCUUGGUCACUAUACCCAAGAUGUCGAUGGUGUGUCCGUUUCAAACCAGGAGUAGACAUUGCGGUAUUGGCGUAAGUCAGUACAACGAGGUCUCUAAGGAAGGGUGAACC
rnacentral:SRP_RNA from 1 species